rnacentral:rRNA from 1 species
GUGUCAGCAGCCGCGGUAAUACCAGCACCCCGAGUGGUCGGGACGUUUAUUGGGCCUAAAGCAUCCGUAGCCGGUUCUACAAGUCUUCCGUUAAAUCCACCUGCUUAACAGAUGGGCUGCGGAAGAUACUAUAGAGCUAGGAGGCGGGAGAGGCAAGCGGUACUCGAUGGGUAGGGGUAAAAUCCGUUGAUCCAUUGAAGACCACCAGUGGCGAAGGCGGCUUGCCAGAACGCGCUCGACGGUGAGGGAUGAAAGCUGGGGGAGCAAACCGGAUUAGAUACCCGGGUAGUCCCAGCUGUAAACGAUGCAGACUCGGUGAUGAGUUGGCUUAUUGCUAACUCAGUGCCGCAGGGAAGCCGUUAAGUUUGCCGCCUGGGGAGUACGGUCGCAAGACUGAA